AUACAUGUCCUGGCUGUUAUUAUUAUUCACUAUUGUCACUAUUUUUAUCUUUAAGUCUACAUGGUUGGAAAAGGACCCAUGAGUAAAGCACGUGACCGUUGUAUUUUUAUUGAUGGCAUUCCUUAACUCUGUUCUCUAGCCAUGUUCAACGGCCAAAUGCUGUUUGACAGACAGAUGCAUGUUAAGAUGGAUGACAAGUCUAUGCCAGCUGAUGAUUUCCACCCGGUGGAGAAAGCUCCUCAGUUACCACGGGGUCUGGGAGGGAUUGGGAUGGGCCUGGGACCAGGAGGACAACCUAUCAAUGCCAACCGGCUGAGUGGUGGAGGAGGAAUGGGCAACAUGGGCCCUGCAGGUUAGUACUGACCCCUAACCUCGCCAUAAUAAUCCAGCAAACACACUGUUACUAUUUAAACCACACAGAGAGACUGCAGGUCAGGAGGAGCCAGUCGGUUCAUACAUACGAUAGUUAUCGGUUGUGAAGAGUAGCUGUUUGUUUUAAACCCUCUGAUGCCUGUUGUUCCUGUACCUUCUCCAAGCACUUACAUCACAUACUGACGCCCCCUCGACCACUGACG